UAUGUCUUGGUGUAAUAAGCACACAAAGUUUUGAUCUUUGGGGGAUAGGGUAGGACCCUAUAGAUAUAA
rnacentral:tRNA from 1 species